UUUGCCCUAGCUUUUUCCCCAAAUUUCCCAAACACACAACCCAAAUUUCAUCUCUUCUCCACGCAUGUUUGCCCUCGCUGUUGCCCGAAUUUCCGAACUGUAGAACCUGACUUCAUCUUUUCCCCACGCAUCUUCAUCUCUUCGAUCUGACGCGUCUUCAUCUUAAUCGCUGUUGCCCAAAUUUCUGAACUGCAGAACCUGACUUCAUCUUUUCCCCAAGCAUCUUCAUCUCUUCGAUCUGACGCAUCUUCAUCUUAAUCGAUGUUGCCCGAAUUUCCGAACUGCAGAACCUGACUUCAUCUCUUCUCCACGCAUCUUCAUCAUUCAAUUGAUCUCCUUGGUUUCCUUCAUUCAUCGAAUACGAGGCAGCCCCUAACCUCCCUUUGGGAGAAGACUACAAGAAGGAAGAAAUGGAAAUAAUGAUGUGUGCGGCACGCCUCUGCCUCUUGCAUUCAUCUUCUAGAAGGCCAACAAUGAAGACGGAUCUGAAGCAAAAGCCGAAGUACUUGCUGACAAUCAUAGUUUGUCUGAAUCAGAGGCAAAAUAUUGAUAGAAUGGUUAAAAAGGUGU